CUCCGGUUAUCCCAGCCCAACUAAUUCUGCCCACGGAGCAGAGCUCCACAAAAGUGCGGGAAUGUCUGACAGGGAAGAAUCAGAGAAAGCUUCACCAGCAGCCCGACAUUCACCUGGACGGACAGUGCACUUUUCUUACGUCUGGACAGCGAAGGCAGGGCGCACCAUCUACCGCAGGCUAGGAUGAUCACCAACCGCCCCACCGCACCCUGCGCCAGCCCUACGGCGCCCGCGGACUGCAAGUCGCGGCGACCCAGGAGCAUGCGCGCUGCCGCCCCUGGCCUGCCAGGACCCAGAGGGAGCGGAGCACGCGCCUUCGGGAAUCUUCGGUGCGCCGAGUCUGUUCGCCGCCGGGGUCUGUCACCCCCGCCCCUCGCCUCUGCCCGUGAGCGUCAGCUGGCUUGGCUUUUUCAGAGGAAACAGAGACUCUCAGACAUGAAUACUGUGACACUGACCACCAGGCCAACUUAACAUCAGCAGAUAUCCUGUCUCAGAUGAAGAGAAUGGCCUGUCCAGAAGACAGCCAAAUACAUCCUUCAAACAGACUUCACUGCAGGAGACAGAGUGGAUUCAUCCCGUAUUCUCCACGUAGACUUCCAUCUUCAUGAAUACUCCAAGAAGAUGGUUCAGUUGACUAUUGCAAAGUCUCAGGUAUGUCUUUAUUAGCAGCAUGAAAAUGGACUAAUAGUACCAGCAGAGUGGGGCAUUGCUGAAAAGAUACCCGAAAAUGUGGAAGCAACUUUGGAACUGGGUGUUGAAAUAAUCUGGAGGGCUCAGAAGAAGAUAGGAAAAUGUGGGAAAGUUUGGAACCUCCUAGAGACUGUGAAUGGCAUUGACAAAAAUACUGAUAGUGAUAUGAACAAUAAGGUCCAGGCUGAGGUGAUCUCAGAUGGAGAUGAAGACCUUGUUGGGAACUGAAGUAAAGGUGACCCUUGUUAUGUUUUAGCAAGGAGACUGGCAGCAUUUCACCCCUGCCCUAGAGAUUUGUGGAACUUAGAGCUUGAGAGAGAUGACUUAGGGUAUCUGGUAGAAUAAAUUUCUAAGCAGCAAAGCAUUCAAAAGGUGACUUGGGUGCUGUUAAAAACAUUCUGUUUUAAAAGGGAAACAAGAGCAUAAAUGUGGAAAAUCUGCAGCCUGAUGAUGCAGUAGAAAAGAAAAACCCAUUUUUUUUUAAGGAGAAAUUCAAGCUGGCUGCAGAAAUUUGCAUAAGCAGCAAGGAGCCUAAUGUUAAUCCCCAAGACCAUGGGGAAAAUGUCUCCAGGUCAUGUCAGAGACCUUCAUGGCAGCCCCUCCCAUCACGGCCCAGAGGCCCAGGAGGAAAAAGUGGUUUUGUGGGCUGGUCCCAGGGUCUCUGUGCUGUGUGCAGCCUAGGGACUUGGUGCCGUGUCCCAGCUGCUCCAGCCAUGGCUGAAAGGAGCCAACAUAGAGCUUGGGCUGUGGCUUCAGAGGGUAGAGGCCCCAAGCAUUGGCAGCUUCCAUGUGAUGUUGAGCCUGUGGGUGCAGAGAUGUCAAGAAUUGAGAUUUGGGAACCUCUGCCUAGAUUUCAGAAGAUAUAUGGAAACACCUGGAUGUCCAGGCAAAAAUUUGCUGCAGGGGCAGAACCCUCAUGGAGAACCUCUCCUAGGGCAGCGUGGAAGGGAAAUGUGGGGCAGAGCCCCCACACAGAGUCUCUAUUGGGGCACUGCCUAGUGGAGCUGUGAGAAGAAGGCCACAGUCCCAGAAUGGUAGACCCCAGAAUGGUAGAUCAACCACCAGCUUGCAUCUUGUGCCUGGAAAAUCUACAGACACUCAACAUCAGCCUGAGAAAGCAGCCAGGAGGGAGGCUGUACUCUGCAAAGCCACAGGGGCGGAGCUGCGCAAGACCAUGGGAACCUAUCUCUUACAUCAGCGUGACCUGAAUGUGAGACAUGGAGUCAAAGGAGAUCAUUAUGGAGCUUUAAAAAUUGACUGCCCCACUGGAUUUCAGACUUGCAUGGACCCUGUAACCCCUUUGUUUUGGCCAAUUUCUCUCAUUUGGAACAGCUGUAUUUACCCAAUACCUGUACCCCCCAUUGUAUCUAGGAGGUAACUAGCUUGCUUUUACAGGCUUGUAAGUGGAAGGGACUUGCCUUGUCUCAGAUGAGACUUUGGACUGUGGACUUUGGGUUAAUGCUGAAAUGAGUUAAGACUUUGGGGAACUGUUGGGAAGGAAUGAUUGGUUUUGAAAUGUGAGGAUUAUGAAAUUUGGAGGAGCCCAGGGAGGAAUGAUAUGGUUUGGCUGUGUCCCCACCCAAAUCUCAACUUGAAUUGUAUCUCCCAGGAUUCCCACAUGUUGUGGGAGGGACCCAGGGGGAGGUAAUUGAAUCACGGAGGCCAGUCUUUUCUGUGCUAUUCUCAUGAUAAUAAGUCCCACAAGAUCUGAUGGGUUUAUGAAGAGUUUCUUUUUGCUUCUUCCUUAUUUUUCUCUUGAUGUCACCACGUAAGAAGUACCUUUUGCCUCCCACCUGAUUUUGAGGCCUCCCCAGCCAUGUGGAACUGUAAGUCCAAUUAAACCCUUUUUGUUCCCAGUCUCAGAUAUGUCUUUAUCAGCAGCAUGGAAACGAACUAAUGCAAUCAUAGUUUUUAAAAACCAAUCUAAAUGUAACUCUUGAACAUGAUUAGCUGUUUCAUCCCUAGUAGAGUGACAGAAGGAAACAUCCAUAGACAGGAAUAAUAAGAAACCAGCUAAACUUCUAAACCAUUUUUAAAGGAUGCGUGUGAGCUGGCAUAACCUACCUACUCUUUCCUAUGGGCCUCUACUGAGAGCAUGGAGGUAAUACACCUAAUACACUGAAGACCAGGGCAAGAGAGCUGGAAGAAAUCCCUCUUAAGCACUCCAGGCCUUCACUGAGUAUGAGGUGCUGGUCUCCAAAGGCAGAGGGCAAGGCAAGGCAGAGAGGGAUCUCCUGGGGCACAGACAACUGACAAAAGAAACACUUGGAUUGUUGUAUAAGAGGAGUGAGCUUUGUAAAUGCCACGUUAGCUGGCCCGCUGUGGAACAGACUGCCUAUGAAUGACAGCAGUCACGUAGUGGAUGAACACUGAUCUGAGAGCCUGUAAAAGAAACUCUUUGGAAUGAUAAUGUCAUCUAGACCUUUGAUACUCAAAGUGUGAUUCCUGGACAGAUGUAUUGGCUUUACCUGGCAGCUUGUUGGAAAUGUAAAACCUCAGGCCUCACCCCAGACCUACUGAAUUAUUUAUAUUAAUUAAAAUUAAUUUUUAUUUCAACAAAA